UUGCAGGACACAUUGAUCAUCGACACUUUGAACGCACUUUGCGGCCCCGGGUUCCUCCCGGGGCUACGUCUGUCUGAGGGUCGCUUG
rnacentral:rRNA from 1 species